GAUCAACUUAUAUCAGGUUAAGGAAUUAGGAGCUCGAGGAGGUUCACACCAGGCAUUGUAAUCUCGCAGGAAAUUCCCUUCACAACUGGUUUGACAACGAAACGCAUAGCAUGUUUUAAUUUUCAACCGCUGGUUAUGGAAAAAAAACAGAGAAGGAAAGAAAGAUAUUGGACAUCGCACAAUGAGCUGUUACAUUGUGGAAACUGAAACCUGUCUUAAUGGGGCAUUCAGACUUCUAUCCAAACAGGCUACCCUCUCUCGGUUUUGAUAUGAUUUCUGCAGAAACACGUUGUCGAGAUUGUCUUCAACCAAUCCUGUCAGCAUGCAUCAAAGACAUCAGGCGUGUUCUGGGAGAAAAUUCAACAGAUCAAGAUUAUUAUUACGGCGAAUGAGGAAUGGUCUUGCAUUAGAUGAGUUCUUCGCGGGCAGUGUCGGUAGAACGAGAUGGUCAGGUUCAUCGCGGUAGAAUCUACUGCAAAAGGGUAUUCCAGCGUUCCUGAUCCAGAAAUAGCAGAGCAAUCUCAACAUGAAAUAUGUGCCAUUUAGGACUGUUAAGGAUUUCUUCCAUUGUAUAUUAUUAUGCUUCGCCACUCCAAACAGUUAGCAUUGACUAUGCUACAAGUUUUUCAACAGGCAAACUGAUCCAAUUACCGUCUCCGAGGAAUCGAUGGGUCUGGGAGAAGUGAUGUUCUCCUACAUGGAGCGUAACCUUAUCACGUAUUGGGACAGGCUUAAAUUACCACAAUUCCCUAUUCCCUUAUGCUCAAUGCUCAACCUUUCCUUUAUAUUUCCUUGUUUUAAUGGAAUGCCGCGCUUGCAUGAAUUGGUGAUAUCACCUUUGUUAAGAAUAUAGAACAUGGAAAAGUUCAGCACAGGAAAAGGACUUUCGGUCUACGAUACCUGUGCUGACCGUGAUGCCAAAUUAAACUAAUACUAUCUCACUGAACAUGAUCCAUAUCCCCCCUUUCCUUGCAUGUUCAUAUGCCUGUAUAAAUUCCUCUUUAACAAGACUCUCGUGUCUAUUUCCGCCACCUCUCUGGCAGCGCGUUCCAAGCAGCUGUAACUCACUGCGUAAAAAGUUGCCAUGCAUUUCUCUUUUAAACGUUCCCCCUCUCACCACAAUGUGUUUGAUAUUUCCACGCUGGGGAA